AUUGAACGCUGGCGGCAUGCUUUACACAUGCAAGUCGAACGGCAGCGCGGGCUUCGGCCUGGCGGCGAGUGGCGAACGGGAGAGUAAUGCAUCGGAACGUGCCCAGUAGUGGGGGAUAGCCCGGCGAAAGCCGGAUUAAUACCGCAUACGACCUGAGGGUGAAAGCGGGGGACCGAAAGGCCUCGCGCUAUUGGAGCGGCCGAUGUCGGAUUAGCUAGUUGGUGGGGUAAAGGCUUACCAAGGCGACGAUCCGUAGCUGGUCUGAGAGGACGACCAGCCACACUGGGACUGAGACACGGCCCAGACUCCUACGGGAGGCAGCAGUGGGGAAUUUUGGACAAUGGGGGCAACCCUGAUCCAGCCAUGCCGCGUGCGGGAAGAAGGCCUUCGGGUUGUAAACCGCUUUUGUUCGGGAAGAAAUCCUCUGGGCUAAUACCCCGGGGGGAUGACGGUACCGGAAGAAUAAGCACCGGCUGACUACGUG
rnacentral:rRNA from 1 species